rnacentral:rRNA from 1 species
GACGAACGCUGGCGGCGUGCCUAAUACAUGCAAGUAGGACGCUGAAGGAGGAGCUUGCUUCUCUGGAUGAGUUGCGAACGGGUGAGUAACGCGUAGGUAACCUGCCUGGUAGCGGGGGAUAACUAUUGGAAACGAUAGCUAAUACCGCAUAAUAGUAGAUGUUGCAUGACAUUUGCUUAAAAGGUGCAAUUGCAUCACUACCAGAUGGACCUGCGUUGUAUUAGCUAGUUGGUGGGGUAACGGCUCACCAAGGCGACGAUACAUAGCCGACCUGAGAGGGGGAUCGGCCACACUGGGACUGAGACACGGCCCAGACUCCUACGGGAGGCAGCAGUAGGGAAUCUUCGGCAAUGGACGGAAGUCUGACCGAGCAACGCCGCGUGAGUGAAGAAGGUUUUCGGAUCGUAAAGCUCUGUUGUAAGAGAAGAACGAGUGUGAGAGUGGAAAGUUCACACUGUGACGGUAGCUUACCAGAAAGGGACGGCUAACUACGUG